rnacentral:lncRNA from 1 species
CCCAGAUCUUCCCCACUUCAGUUGGCCCCAGCCAGAAGCGUCCCUUCUAGUUCUCCCACACGUCCCUCUUACAAGCUUUCUUUUCCGGAUGCUUUCCAACUUCUUUUUUCCUAGCGAGAUUGCUUACUUGAAAAACAAAAACAAAAACAUUGCUUUCCACUCAUCAGGAAAAAUCAAAUGAGCAAGAAUGGCAGAGAGAAGCAACUCAGCUUACUUCUGAAGGGCUUAGUAACGACCUCUAGUCCCUACACAUUUAGGAGUGGGUGGUUUCGUAGAUUUAAUUUUGGUUUCCUAAAAUCACCCUCAUCGUUGAACGUUGAAUAAUCAACCAAGGCCUUAGAUAUAUUUUGACAGCGCUCGAUUAACAUUCUGAUAGUGUUUCUGCCUACCUCUUUUCACUGAGUCUCUCCUUUGCAGCCCUCGCUGUCUCUCCCCCCCUCCCGCCGUUGCAUUUCUCCUUCAAACUCAACAUUGACAUCCGCACACCUGAGUGUGUGAUUCCUUUCUGCAUUGUCAAGCAUUGUCCAGCCUACCUCCUUCUCUUCGACUUCGAACUACGAGGAUUAUUCCUUCCUGUUUCUCUGUUUCCCAAGCGUCUUUUCCCAAACAUCUGAUCAUUCCUACUUCCCAGUUUGGUUUUCAGACUUUUUUUUUUAACAUUGUUAUCUUCUAUUACAGUAAUUUUUUGACGGUCCAUUUUCUAUGAUUUCAUUUCAUUUUACUGGUUCUUUCUAGCUAGAAAAAAGGCAAGAUACUUGAGAGAACAUAUGAGGAAAGUCAUGUUAGACUUUCAAGAUAUUGACCGCGGGAUCACAAAAGCUUGAAGGCAAAGCCAUCCGUACAUUUUCAACCUCUUGCUUAGAAAAGGGCUCAGAAGAUAAUAUAUGGUGACAACAGUUACAGCCUCAGAGUGGCUUUGAGAUGGAGAUUUGAGAUGGAGAUUUUGGACACUCAUAAUCUCCAUCUCAAGGAGAGGUGGCCCAGAGGCUGAAUGAAGAUGAGUGAAGGUAGAUGUGAUUCCCUUAAAUUGGGGCAAAAAGGGACAAAAACAGCAGAAAAUCUGUAUCUUUAAAGACAUAUGUAAUGUAUUUCAGUCUAUCAACUUCUCUACAUAAACUUUAGCUUUUAAAAAUAUGUUAACGUAAGUUUGACCUUUAGUGUGUUUCUACCUGCAGGGUAUUCUUAUUGGAGGUUUGUUUAAAAGCAUACAUUUCUGAUCUUGAAUGGGUUACUACAAAUCCAUUAUAAUUGUUUCAUAUUUCAUGUUGCAGAUACAAGUAGGGUUGAAAAAACAGUGAGUUAAAGGCAAAAGGAUGGCCGGGAACAUGGCUUUUUUAUUCUCUGGGUUUCUAUCCAGAUUUCUGUUCUUUUGCAUAAUGACUCCAAUCUGUUGUGCACCUGUAGUUCUGGGAAAUGAUUCUUUUUUAAUCGCUUCAACAGAGACAUGGAUGUUGGAGUUGCCAACUACUAAGCUGAAAAACUCCAUCUAUGCUCAGAAGAACAUUUAAUCCACUUACUUUUUCUCUUUUAUUUAAAGAUUAGCACUCAUCAGGCAUUUGUGGUAAUAUGCAAAUAUAUACAUAGGACAUAUAUGUAUAUUUAUAAGCAAAAUGUGAAUUGGAAAAACAUUUGAAUGUAGAAACAAGACCACAGGAGUAAAUUUGUACAAGGCACUAGUAAAAGUGACAUGUAAUAUGGGGUUCUUGUAGUGAGUUUCAUAAUCCAAUUUUUGCUCCUUGAUUUGAAUGGGCACCCAAAAUAACACAUGCUAUCCUAAUCCCUACUCCCCAUAUUUUGGGUUUUAUUUUUAUAGAAUACAUAUGGGCUUAUAUAAACAUUAAUCUCAACAUGUUCUAAUUUACAUAUGUAAGCUAAUUUUUAUUUCUAGAGAUAACAGAACAAAACUCAAAACAUUUGACAUAAAAUUAUUGGAACAAUUAACAGUUUGACCUAUUAAACACAUUAUUGUCCUCUAUGAACAGAGGGACUGUCUGAAAAAAAGAACAAGUUGUCUGCAUUUUAAAGUGAGAGAUAAGCAUCAAGGUGUCAAUUUCUAUUUACACCUUAUGUGUUCUUAUUUGUUUCACAGAUUCAUAUGUUAUAGACACAAUAUUCUAUUCACAAUUUUCACGACGUCUAUACCAAAGUAAGUAUUCAACAAGUAGCCAUGAAAUGAGGAAAUCUGGUAAUAUACAUGAGCUAUUAGAAUUGUUUUAAUGUAAACAUUGUCUAGAGAAACAACUAAUGUGCAUAUUUCAUAACCGGGAAAUGCUUUUUAUUCACAUUUUAGUACCAUAAGAUUGACUAAUUAGAAAUAGGGAAGCUGUUUGGUAUUAGUCCUACUUUUGGGAACAUAUGGUCUAAAGUAAUAUUGGACAAAUGGAUAUUUUAAUUGAUCACAAAUGAGAAAGUAGUUAGAAAACUUCUAGUUUAAACAGGUUAUAUACCCAGAAGUAUUGCAAAUAUUGGAGACAGAAAAAUUAUUGUAGCUUGCAUUUAGACUCAAAAUUGAUAUUCCCUCCACAUCAUGCCCUCACAGAACUCAGAGGAGUAUGAUCUGCCAGAUCGACUCCCUUUGUGUAACUGAUGCAGAAAUGAGACUCAAAAGGGUUAAGUAGUUUUCCCAAGAUGUCAUAGCGAGAGUCAAACUGGGGGCUUAGAAAUGACUCUGACUCAUAACUUUUAAUCAACUGUUUUGACAUUUUAACCUAUCUAAUUGUGUAGGAGGUAAUUAUAUUGUCAGACUUUGGAAUGAUGUUGUUUCCAGUAAAGUUUUGUUUUAAUUAUAAAUAGGAAUUUUCCAGCAAUAAAAAAUUUCCA